GACGGCAGCGCGGGGCAACCUGGCGGCGAGUGGCGAACGGGUGAGUAAUAUAUCGGAACGUACCCUGGAGUGGGGGAUAACGUAGCGAAAGUUACGCUAAUACCGCAUACGAUCUAAGGAUGAAAGUGGGGGAUCCCAAGAACUCUUGCGCCUGGGGCGCCCGAUAUCUGAUUAUCUAUUUGGGAGGGUAAAAGCCUACCACGGGGUCUAUCACUAUCUGGGGUGAGAGGACAACCCGCCCCACUGGAACUGAGACACGGUCCCGACUCCUACGGGAGGGGGCAGUGGGGAAUUUUGUACAAUGGGCGCAAGCCUGAUCCACCAAUGCCGCGUGAGUGAAAAAAGCCUUCUGGUUGUAAAGCUCUUUUGUCAGGGAAAAAACGGGGAGCUCUAAUACAGUUUGCUAAUGAGGGUACCUGAAAAAAAAACACCGGCUAAAUACAUGCCACCACUCUUUUACCCGGGAUGAUAAUGACAGUACCGGGAGAAUAAGCUCCGGCUAACUCCGUGCCAGCAGCCGCGGUAAUACGGA
rnacentral:rRNA from 1 species